CUUCUUCAGGGCAGGGUGAAAAUCCCGACCGGCGGUACAGCCCGCGAACCUCUUCCUUGCGGAGAGGCCGAUCCCGGUGUGAUUCCGGAGCCGACAGUUACAGUCUGGAUGAAAGAAGAG
rnacentral:ncRNA from 1 species